CCUAUUUUAUCGGCUAUGGUUGAUUGCCCUAAUGUGUUUUGGUACAAGUUUGCAAUAGUUUAAUUCCACAGAAGUAUUCAGAUGUUAAGUGAGUACAGCUUGUGGCCUAUCUUAUGAUCAUACUCAUGUGUACUUUAGUUUAUGAGAAGCCGCAACGAUUUUUUUAAUGUCAUAAUAUUCUAGGCUCUUGUUUUUUGAGAUACAAUUAGUUCAUUGCACCUAACAUAUUUUGUUUUUAAGAAAGAAAUCUUCAUUUGAUGGUUUAGAUCCAUGUAAAGGGAGGAGCAUGCUUGUGGCUACACCUAUACUAUUAUAUGUAUUCAUCUGUCAUGUUGCUGAACUCCUGUUGUCAAUUGCAGAAGGAAAUUCCUGCUUGAGCCAAUUACAGAAGGCCCUGAUAUUUGCCAAAUUGAUGGCUGUAGUGUUAAAUUGGAAUACAAGAGGAGGCAAGUCAAAUAUGGUUUGUUUGACACCAUCCUGAUUGCAAGCUGGUUGUUAUCCAUGAUGACUAUAGCUUAACUUCCAAGCUGCCAAGGGAGAGAACUUCUGUUGUAACGAUAUCUGGCCUUUGAAGUACUUGGUUCCAUGUAUGAGGGAAGAUCUGUUUGCCAGGGACAAUUCGCCGUCUCAUCCCGACUUUGUCGUCUGCCCACCCCGCCCCAUUACCCCAUGGAGGCACUAUGGAAGCAGGCCUCUAGGCUCAAG